GCCGGGUGUGGUGGUGCACACCUGUAAUCCCAGCUACUUGGGAGGCUGAGGCAGGAGAAUUGCUUGAACCUGGGAGACAGAUGUGCAGUGAUCUGAGAUCGCUCCACUGCAACUCCAGCCUGGGUGACAAAGGGAGACCCUGUCUCCG
rnacentral:SRP_RNA from 2 species